rnacentral:rRNA from 1 species
GACGAACGCUGGCGGCGUGCCUAAUACAUGCAAGUCGAGCGAGCUUGCCUAGAUGAUUUUAGUGCUUGCACUAAAUGAAACUAGAUACAAGCGAGCGGCGGACGGGUGAGUAACGCGUGGGUAACCUGCCUCACACUGGGGGAUAACAGUCAGAAAUGGCUGCUAAUACCGCAUAAGCGCACGGGACCGCAUGGUUUUGUGUGAAAAACUCCGGUGGUGUGAGAUGGACCCGCGUUGGAUUAGCCAGUUGGCAGGGUAACGGCCUACCAAAGCGACGAUCCAUAGCCGGCCUGAGAGGGUGAACGGCCACAUUGGGACUGAGACACGGCCCAG